rnacentral:antisense_RNA from 1 species
UUCAAGACUGAGCUGGUUUGAAGAGAAAGAGAUUUGACUACAGUCACAUCAACAAAUCCAAACAAGCCAGAAUGAAACUACCUGGACAGUGAUGUCUCUGCCGUUCCCAUUCCAAAAGAGGCCAACUGUGAGGAGCAGGUGAUGACAUAUUUAUUUGAGAGAACAGCUCUUUAUAUGACCUGGAAAAUUCUUAGAAAACAAAAAAAAAUCACAUUCUUAAUUUCACAGAAGGGAGACCCCAACUAACUAAUGCAUAGUAUUAUAUAUUAAAAGUCUACUUGUAACUGAUUCUGUUUUUCAAAAAAAAAUUUAUGUUAGAUAUUGUGGUUAGAUUCUUAGGUCAGAUACAAAUUGCAAAAUUAACUUUUGAUGCCACUGAAACACUAUAUUUCGAAUGAAAAUUAACAGUAAAAAUGCAUUAAUAGUAAUUUAA